rnacentral:rRNA from 1 species
UACGUAGGGACCAAGCGUUGUUCGGAUUUACUGGGCGUAAAGGGCGCGUAGGCGGCGCGGUAGGUCACUUGUGAAAUCUCUGAGCUUAACUCAGAACGGCCAAGUGAUACUGCAGUGCUAGAGUGUGGAAGGGGCAAUCGGAAUUCUUGGUGUAGCGGUGAAAUGCGUAGAUAUCAAGAGGAACACCUGAGGUGAAGACGGGUUGCUGGGCCAACACUGACGCUGAUGCGCGAAAGCCAGGGGAGCAAACGGG